rnacentral:rRNA from 1 species
GAUGAACGCUGGCGGCGUGCUUAACACAUGCAAGUCGAACGAAGCACUUUUGAUUGAUUUCCUCGGAAAGAUUUCACUUGUGACUGAGUGGCGGACGGGUGAGUAACGCGUGGGUAACCUGCCUCAUACAGGGGGAUAACAGUUAGAAAUGACUGCUAAUACCGCAUAAGCGCACGGUAUCGCAUGAUACAGUGUGAAAAACUCCGGUGGUAUGAGAUGGACCCGCGUCUGAUUAGCUAGUUGGUGGGGUAACGGCCUACCAAGGCGACGAUCAGUAGCCGACCUGAGAGGGUGACCGGCACAUUGGGACUGAGACACGGCCCAAACUCCUACGGGAGGCAGCAGUGGGGAAUAUUGGCACAAUGGGCGAAAAGCCUGAUGCAGCGACGCCGCGUGAAGGGAAGAAGGCUUUCGGGUGUAAACUUCUUUGUCAGGGAAGAGUAGAAGACGGUACCUGGCGAAU